GACGAACGCUGGCGGCGUGCCUAAUACAUGCAAGUAGAACGCUGAAGGAGGAGCUUGCUUCUCUGGAUGAGUUGCGAACGGGUGAGUAACGCGUAGGUAACCUGCCUGGUAGCGGGGGAUAACUAUUGGAAACGAUAGCUAAUACCGCAUAAUGGCAGUUAUUGCAUGAUAACUGUUUGAAAGGUGCAAUUGCACCACUACCAGAUGGACCUGCGUUGUAUUAGCUAGUUGGUGGGGUAACGGCUCACCAAGGCGACGAUACAUAGCCGACCUGAGAGGGUGAUCGGCCACACUGGGACUGAGACACGGCCCAGACUCCUACGGGAGGCAGCAGUAGGGAAUCUUCGGCAAUGGACGGAAGUCUGACCGAGCAACGCCGCGUGAGUGAAGAAGGUUUUCGGAUCGUAAAGCUCUGUUGUAAGAGAAGAACGAGUGUGAGAGUGGAAAGUUCACACUGUGACGGUAUCUUACCAGAAAAGGACGGCUAACUACGU
rnacentral:rRNA from 1 species